UACGGAGGGUGCGAGCGUUGUCCGGAAUCACUGGGCGUAAAGGGCGCGUAGGUGGCGCGGAAAGUCAACGGUGAAAGCUUGGGGCUCAACCCCGAGUCGGCCGUCGAUACUGCGGGUCUCGAGUCCGGGAGAGGUGAGUGGAACUGCGAGUGUAGAGGUGAAAUUCGUAGAUAUUCGCAAGAACACCAGUGGCGAAGGCGGCUCACUGGCCCGGUACUGACGCUGAGGUGCGAAAGCGUGGGGAGCAAACAGG
rnacentral:rRNA from 1 species